GUGGGGGAUAUUGCACAAUGGGGGAAACCCUGAUGCAGCAACGCCGCGUGAAGGAAGAAGGUCUUCGGAUUGUAAACUUCUGUCCUCAGGGAAGAUAAUGACGGUACCUGAGGAGGAAGCUCCGGCUAACUACGUGCCAGCAGCCGCGGUAAUACGUAGGGAGCGAGCGUUGUCCGGAUUUACUGGGUGUAAAGGGUGCGUAGGCGGAUCUGCAAGUCAGUAGUGAAAUCCCAGGGCUUAACCCUGGAACUGCUAUUGAAACUGUGGGUCUUGAGUGAGGUAGAGGCAGGCGGAAUUCCCGGUGUAGCGGUGAAAUGCGUAGAGAUCGGGAGGAACACCAGUGGCGAAGGCGGCCUGCUGGGCCUUAACUGACGCUGAGGCACGAAAGCAUGGGUAGCAAACAGGAUUAGAAACCCGAGUAGUCC
rnacentral:rRNA from 1 species